rnacentral:rRNA from 1 species
AGAGUUUGAUCCUGGCUCAGAACGAACGCUGGCGGCGUGCCUAACACAUGCAAGUCGAGCGCGAAUAGGGGCAACCCUUAGUAGAGCGGCGCACGGGUGCGUAACACGUGGGUAAUCUGCCUGGAAGCCUGGGAUAACUAGCCGAAAGGUUAGCUAAUACCAGAUGAGACCACGGGAGCUUCGGCUCCUGAGGGAAAAGGAGGCCUCUGUAUACAAGCUUUCACUUCCAGAUGAGCCCGCGGCCCAUCAGCUAGUUGGCGGGGUAAUGGCCCACCAAGGCAACGACGGGUAGCUGGUCUGAGAGGACGAUCAGCCACACUGGAACUGAGACACGGUCCAGACUCCUACGGGAGGCAGCAGUGGGGAAUUUUGCGCAAUGGGCGAAAGCCUGACGCAGCAACGCCGCGUGUGUGAUGAAGGUCUUCGGAUUGUAAAGCACUUUCGACCGGGACGAAACCCGCUAGCCUAAUACGCUGGCGUCUGACGGUACCGGGAGAAGAAGCACCGGCUAACUCUGUGCCAGCAGCCGCGGUAAUACAGAGGGUGCAAGCGUUGUUCGGAAUUAUUGGGCGUAAAGCGCGUGUAGGCGGCUUUGCAAGUCGGGUGUGAAAGCCCUCGGCUCAACCGAGGAAGUGCGCCCGAAACUGCAGAGCUUGAGUGCCGGAGAGGAUGGCGGAAUUCCCCAAGUAGAGGUGAAAUUCGUAGAUAUGGGGAGGAACACCGGUGGCGAAGGCGGCCAUCUGGACGGUAACUGACGCUGAGCGCGAAAGCGUGGGGAGCAAACAGGAUUAGAUACCCUAGUAGUCC